GGGAGAAUCCUGAAUUCGAAAGGGGCUCGGAUUCAACCGUCCUCCCGGAAUUUACAAGCCAGGUCCCGCGGCCAGACGGCGCCGUGAGCCCGCGGUAGCGCGUUCGCGCGCCCGCGCGGUUGGCGUCCGCUCGGUUCCACGCGUGGUUUCUCUGGAACGGGAGCGGUGCACUUCCCCCCGAGUAGAAACGUCGCGACCCGUUGGGCGCCGGCCUCAGGGCCCGGGAUGGCAGCCACCGCACGCGGCCCGCGAUCGGGUUCCGCGGCGGUGGUCCCCCGGAGUACCCGGCCGGCCGACCCGACGCGGAAAGAUGUGGCCAGCCCCCGGUGGGGAAGCGUGCGGCCCGGUCCGUCGCCGGCAGGGGAGAACGGCCGUGCACCGCCACGGUCCGCCGACCCUCGCCGACCGCGAACGCGACCGGUGGAAACCUCGCACCUGGUCCGCACGCGACGCAUCAUCUUCGGAUGAUUCUCCCG
rnacentral:rRNA from 1 species